AAGGAUGGGUGUACGCUCUCUUUUCAGAAUGUGGUUCAUCUCAAAGCCCUUUACACUUUGGAGCCAGGCCUGUUCAAUUUUACAAAUAACACGUUUUGCUUGUAGUCAGGGUGCUGUGACAACAUGAAGAGUUCGAGCUACCUCCCAGGAUGAGUGCAGGUUUUCCUGGUGACAAAUCUCAGGCAUUCAAAGGUUAGUUAGAUUAUUUUGGAUGGGGUUUGUUCACUAGGUUUGCUGUUUCUAUGAUGAAUCAAACUAGCUCACUAUGACUGCUAAUGAAAACACAGGAACACCUGAGAAACCAAAGGGUAGUGUGGGGGCAAGGGCCUUAUAUCCAGCCUUUUCAAGGUUUGUUAUUUUUCUCCAGGUUCUGUUAGCAGUGCCAUACUUGUGGGUUUACAGGUGAGUGAUUCCAGUGUGUGGUGUGGUGUAUGUGCAUAGCAUUGGACUGGGGUGGGGGGACCUAACUGAGAACGUACUUUGUGUA
ensembl:processed_transcript Snhg1 small nucleolar RNA host gene 1